AUUGAACGCUGGCGGCAGGCCUAACACAUGCAAGUCGAGCGGAUGAAGGGAGCUUGCUCCUGGAUUCAGCGGCGGACGGGUGAGUAAUGCCUAGGAAUCUGCCUGGUAGUGGGGGAUAACGUCCGGAAACGGGCGCUAAUACCGCAUACGUCCUGAGGGAGAAAGUGGGGGAUCUUCGGACCUCACGCUAUCAGAUGAGCCUAGGUCGGAUUAGCUAGUUGGUGGGGUAAAGGCCUACCAAGGCGACGAUCCGUAACUGGUCUGAGAGGAUGAUCAGUCACACUGGAACGGAGACACGGUCCAGACUCCUACUGGAGGCAGCAGUGGGGAAUAUUGGACAAUGGGCUAAAGCCUUAUCCAGCCAUGCCGCGUGUGUGAAGAAGGUCUUCGGAUUGUAAAGCACUUUAAGUUGGGAGGAAGGGCAGUAAGUUAAUACCUUGCUGUUUUGACGUUACCAACAGAAUAAGCACCGGCUAACUUCGUG
rnacentral:rRNA from 1 species